CGAUACUCGAUCUGAAGUGGACUGGAGUCGAGAGACCUGUGGGAGGAGGUUUAGUUAAAAGUUGUAUGCGUUGUUUAUGGUCGGCUAAAGUAUUGACUGGUGAGGUGUAAUCUUCCCUCGCUAGUUCUCUAUGUGGACCCAACUGCAUUUACCAUCACGCGUAGAGGGAUCACUGGUAUGCUCGUAUAAAAAAAUAUUUCAAGCCAAACUGGUUAGAUACAUUUGUGGGAAAUUCGGUGGAUUUUUCUCACAAGCGGCGGGCCGAGGAUCGUUUGUGUAUGAGUUAGUAGUAGUUAGUAAGAGUGGUAUAUUCUUAUCUACCUAGUAUUGCCUGCAGUGUUGUUUCUAAUUGACUUCUGGUUACUAUCAGGUUCACUGUAGUUAUAACACUAAGUCUGAGUCAAAAAUUAUGAUUUGAGAUUGUUAAUUUAUUAUUUUGUAAAUAAUCAGACCGGCCAAAUCAUUGAUUACUAAAUCUUACCCCAAAAAUUAAAGAAUUGUGUUGCAGCUUGAUUGUACCCUGGAUUUGUUGAUAUCCAUUAUCCAUAACCAGUUGUCGCUUUGUGUUAAUGACCCAUAUACAAUUAAAUAGGACAUUAAUUCUAUUGCCUUUAAAGACAAUAAAUGGAUAAUAAUAUUUGUAGGUAGGUACAUAAUUCUCUUUAACGGUGAUGUUCACACUAGGCUGCGUUUGUAUCAUAGACAUCGGUUUUAAUUUCAUUUACAAAUAAUAUAUUGUAGUAUCUCUUAUAAAAAUAAUUAUAAUUCUAAAGUAAAGGUGGGUGUGCAUAUGUGUGUGUGUUGUUUAUGAUUGCAUAAUGUUAACAAAUUAUGUUUGUACUUUCAAGAUUGUCUAAUGAUUGUAAUGAAUCUCUUAUAUGAAGACAUAUAAGAGAUUCAUUAACAGAGUUGAUUUUACUUUUCUUCAAUAAAGGAUAAUGUUGAA